CCUACGGGAGGCAGCAGUGGGGAAUCUUGCGCAAUGGGCGAAAGCCUGACGCAGCCAUGCCGCGUGAAUGAUGAAGGUCUUAGGAUUGUAAAAAUUCUUUCACCGGGGACGAUAAUGACGGUACCCGGAGAAGAAGCCCCGGCUAACUUCGUGCCAGCAGCCGCGGUAAUACGAAGGGGGCUAGCGUUGCUCGGAAUUACUGGGCGUAAAGGGAGCGUAGGCGGAUAGUUUAGUCAGAGGUGAAAGCCCAGGGCUCAACCUUGGAAUUGCCUUUGAUACUGGCUAUCUUGAGUAUGGGAGAGGUUAGCGGAACUCCGAGUGUAGAGGUGAAAUUCGUAGAUAUUCGGAAGAACACCAGUGGCGAAGGCGGCUAACUGGCCCAUUACUGACGCUGAGGCUCGAAAGCGUGGGGAGCAAACAGGAUUAGAUACCCUGGUAGUCCACGCCGUAAACGAUGAGUGCUAGUUGUCGGCAUGCAUGCAUGUCGGUGACGCAGCUACGACAUAAGACACCUCCGCCGUCGGGGAGGUACGGUCGCGAAGAAGUUAAACUAACGUAAAGUAAAGUUAGUUACGGUCGUUGAGACGUUGCCGACGGACGACGACGAGGGAGGAGG
rnacentral:rRNA from 1 species